rnacentral:rRNA from 1 species
AUUGAACGCUGGCGGCAUGCUUUACACAUGCAAGUCGAACGGUAACAGGCCUUCGGGUGCUGACGAGUGGCGAACGGGUGAGUAAUGCAUCGGAACGUGCCCAGAGGUGGGGGAUAACGCAGCGAAAGCUGUGCUAAUACCGCAUGUGAUCUGAGGAUGAAAGCGGGGGACCAGGCAGCAAUGUUUGGCCUCGCGCCUUUGGAGCGGCCGAUGUCAGAUUAGGUAGUUGGUGGGGUAAAGGCCUACCAAGCCGACGAUCUGUAGCUGGUCUGAGAGGACGACCAGCCACACUGUGACUGAGACACGGCCCAGACUCCUACGGGAGGCAGCAGUGGGGAAUUUUGGACAAUGGGCGCAAGCCUGAUCCAGCAAUGCCGCGUGCAGGAAGAAGGCCUUCGGGUUGUAAACCGCUUUUGUACGGAACGAAAAGGCUCUGGCUAAUACCUGGGGCUGAUGACGGUACCGUAAGAAUAAGCACCGGCUAACUACGUG